GCACUGCUGAGGAGUCUCAUAACAGGUCGAAACGGCCGUCUAGUGC
rfam:Schistosoma margrebowiei strain Zambia genome assembly, scaffold: SMRZ_contig0002704